UACAGAGGUCUCAAGCGUUGUUCGGAUUCAUUGGGCGUAAAGGGUGCGUAGGCGGCGCGGUAAGUCGGGUGUGAAAUCUCGGAGCUUAACUCCGAAACUACAUUCGAUACUGCCGUGCUUGAGGACUGGAGAGGAGACUGGAAUUUACGGUGUAGCGGUGAAAUGCGUAGAUAUUCGCAAGAACACCCGUGGCGAAGGCGGUUCUCUGGAACGCAACUGACGCUGAGACGCGAAAGCGUGGGGAGCAAACAGG
rnacentral:rRNA from 1 species